GUGGGGAAUCUUGCGCAAUGGGCGAAAGCCUGACGCAGCCAUGCCGCGUGGAUGAUGAAGGUCUUAGGAUUGUAAAAUCCUUUCACCGGUGAAGAUAAUGACUGUAGCCGGAGAAGAAGCCCCGGCUAACUUCGUGCCAGCAGCCGCGGUAAUACGAAGGGGGCUAGCGUUGCUCGGAUUUACUGGGAGUAAAGGGCGCGUAGGCGGACAUUUAAGUCAGGGGUGAAAUCCCGGGGCUCAACCUCGGAACUGCCUUUGAUACUGGGUGUCUUGAGUAUGAGAGAGGUGUGUGGAACUCCGAGUGUAGAGGUGAAAUUCGUAGAUAUUCGGAAGAACACCAGUGGCGAAGGCGACACACUGGCUCAUUACUGACGCUGAGGCGCGAAAGCGUGGGGAGCAAACAGGAUUAGAAACCCGUGUAGUCC
rnacentral:rRNA from 1 species